rnacentral:lncRNA from 1 species
UACUUUCCAGUAAUAAACUGACUCCUGGACGGUGUGCAAAUAGGCUGGACAUAGUAGUUCUCCAGUUUAACUCCUUCAGCAGCAAGUUUGUCAAGAGUGGGAGUCUUUAUCUCCGAUCCGUGGUAACCCACAUCUCUAAAUCCCUGAUCAUCGGCUAGGAUGAAAAUGAGAUGGGGCUGGGAGGUGGAGGCUGUGCUGGGCUCCGGCCUUUCUCCAGCUUGAGCUCGGAAGGCCGCUUCCUCCUCGUCCUCCAAGCCCUGGCCCCAGGACAGGUAACCAUAGGUGAGGAGGCUGAGGACCCAGAAGCCUGCCAGCGCCCCCAUGGCUAGCAUCUUUCCCGGCCAGACCCAGGCCUGCAGAGGCGGCGGAGGCGGAUGCCCCGCGCAUUCCCUGGGGGCCAUUCACUCGGGUCCCAGCUGACACUCGACACGCAGAACCACGCACCCCGCGCCGCCGCCGGCGCACACAUGCACGCGGGAGGGGUGGACCGAGCAGGCGGCGGAGGGUCUCCACCCGGAAAGAAGCCCUGCGCUCCUCUCAGGAUCAGCACGUCCCACAACUUGAAUCUUCUAGAAGUGAUGGCUUAAGGGAUGGGCCGUCGGGAAAGCAAGGAGUCGCUCUUCUCCAUCAGAUUUCACUUUCUCCUCCUCCUCCUCGCUCCCCAGAGCAGCUUCCACAAAAAAAGUUAAUACCUCCACCCAAAAGUUCUUGGGAGAAAAAAUUCAACUAAGGAAUGGAGAAUCCCCUUGGGCGGGGGAUUUUCCAGGGCGCUCUCAACGUUGGGGAGCGGGGCUCCCCCGAGGGCGCGCGCACGGAUGGCGGUGGGUCAUCAGCCCGUCCAGCGGUCCCCUCACCUGGAAAACACUGGGAAGUUGAGCCGCCGCGCCUCGCUCUUACCCGGGCAGAUGAGGCGCUGCCCGGAGCGGACCGGCUGCCCGAUCACCGUCUGCACUUUCACAGGGCUCUCUCUUUCUCCCGGUCCUCUCCAAGGCGUUUGUCAAUCUUCCCGACACUCACCAGGCGGCGAAGUGAGAGAGAAGGCCGUUUCCUGACCUCCCUCCGGCGCUACCUCCCCUCCUUUGCAGGAACUGCGGGCAGCGAUUUCUUCUCCGGGCCGCUGGAGCGCGUGGGGACCGCAGCGGGGUCCCUGCCCCCGUGGCCGCUCCACACCGAGCCCGCUUGGUCUCCGCAGAGUUGGUGCACCCGGCGGAGGCGCUGCAAGCUGCGGUGUCUCCAGCCAAGAAGGUGGGGAAGAAGAGGGGAGACAGUUCACCCUCCAGAACCGCGAGGCCAGUCUGCGCUCCUGCAGUAAGGAAGCCACCGUUUCCCAUCCAGUAAUUCCGGG